rnacentral:rRNA from 1 species
GUGGGGAAUAUUGGACAAUGGGCGAAAGCCUGAUCCAGCCAUGCCGCGUGUGUGAAGAAGGUCUUCGGAUUGUAAAGCACUUUAAGUUGGGAGGAAGGGCAGUAAGUUAAUACCUUGCUGUUUUGACGUUACCGACAGAAUAAGCACCGGCUAACUUCGUGCCAGCAGCCGCGGUAAUACGAAGGGUGCAAGCGUUAAUCGGAAUUACUGGGCGUAAAGCGCGCGUAGGUGGUUUUGUAAGUUGGAGGUGAAAUCCCCGGGCUCACCCUGGGAACUGCCUCCAAAACUGCAUGACUAGAGUACGGUAGAGGGUAGUGGAAUUUCCUGUGUAGCGGUGAAAUGCGUAGAUAUAGGAAGGAACACCAGUGGCGAAGGCGACUACCUGGACUGAUACUGACACUGAGGUGCGAAAGCGUGGGGAGCAAACAGGAUUAGAUACCCCGGUAGUCC